GGAUCUGUUUCUGAAGAUCCCUCCUUGGUAGAGCUUUUCCCUGUGGACCUGGAGUCUUCUAAUACAGUGAUCUGUCCAAUUGCUACAGCAGUACAACAGGGUGGGAGACUUCUUCAUUGCUAGUGUCUGUAAGAGGUCAUCUUGCCCAUUGGACUGUAAGGAAAAAGGUCUCCAGUUGUAGCUAUCCACAGCAGCUCCGGAUGUGACCCAAAGCCAUGUUGGCUCUGUUCUGAAAUCAAGCACUUGCUGGUAAGUCGCAGGGAAGCUUGGGCUAGAUGUUAUCUAGCACUGGGCCGCUGCCUGAUGCUCACCUGCUGGGCCUGGGAGUAACACCACAGACUCGUGCAGCUCCCACUUCUGGGAAAAUGGCCCAAACCACUCCGCUUAGCCCACGACUGUUGGCAAAACACUGCAUUCACCCCCAAACCAAGAGGCAGCCUGCUCCCAUUCAGCGAGCUCCCAGCGGCGUACUUUGGCCCCAUCACACGUAGCUAAUCUCUUCAAUGAUUUAUGUGCUCUUUUAAGUUUUAAUUCUCCCUCUGUCAUGAACCUUCCUCACUAGCAAGUUGACAGUUUAAAUUAGUGUUUAGACACGGCUUUCAUAAUGUCAGCUUUUGUUUUGUCUCAGUCAUCUGUUGGAAUUCCUUCCAUUGUAUCUGAAGUGACUCAUGACAAUAAAUGACUUCUUUCUUCUUUUGUUCUUAAUCGGGGAAGAAUGGAAUGAACCAUGCAAUAUUUGUAAAAGAGCAGUCUUAAUUAGUCCUCAGCUGUAGCUAAAGAUGCUUGUCUUGUCUCUUUAGCAUAUUAAUGCAGGAAGCCAUGCGUUCACGUGGGCAAUUGCCAUGUUCCUGAAAAGCCUUGUUACAAGCCAAAUUCUCCAGCGUAAAGGUAUUCCCUCUGCAGGCUGAGCCCUGCCAAAUGAGGAGCCUGUGCCCCAGGGCAUUGUGCGAGGCUGCUCAGCCUUGCGAGGGGGGAAAACAGGCACGUUUCACAGUGACCCAUCCCAAGGAUUGGCUUUAUUUUUAUAAAUAUAAUGUUGUUGCAGCUCCUAAAGGUACAGUCUCAUCACACAGAAAUCUGGAGCCUCACGUUGAGCGUUAUGCUGCUUGUCUUGUUCUGGAGAUGGGGAAGUUCACCAGUGCUUCUGUUUACACAGGUCUUUCAUUUUUGCAGUACGUGGCUCAAAUACAUACACAAAGCUUAGAACUAAGAUGAUCUUCAAGGUCCCUUCCAACCUGAGCCACUGUACGAGUCUGUAAUUCUCUGAUUGGGUAUUUGUUGCAAAAAAUGGUGUGGAAAUGCUAAUGGCUUUAUCCUGCAUUGCUAGGAUGAAGUAGUUGCAGCCAGGGCAUCCUUUACAUUGUCCCCAGAGCAAGUGAAUGGCAACAGCUUUUUUCCUCUUGCUGUUAUUGUUCUUUUUUUUUUUUUCCUGUUUGUCAUUUGGGAGAAGAAAAUGAGUUCUCUAAAAAAGUGUGGGAAAACUGCACAGCCUGCUCUCUGUGCGCUCUCUGAGUCCAUGUAGGGCCAUGCCCAUGGUGCCAAGUUAUGCGCUAAUGGUAAAAAGCAGCUAAAUAAAGGUUGAGGUUGGGCACUGAUUUCUUAUGGACUGCAUUUUGAAGAAGGGCCAUGGCACAGGGCUCAGUUGGGUUGUGGGUAUCAGGUCCUCCCCUCCUUUCUCAAAGACCUGUGUGAUGGGAGUGUGUCUUGCACAAUUCUAUUGCUGCAAUGGGGCUGGGCUCCCAUUUGGUAUAUGCUGUCCAUCUGUCUCUUUCUUUCCCUUUUUCUUUUUUUUUUUUUUUGACUAAUUCUGGCAUAAUGAAGCAGCCUGGAUGUGCCUCAUAGGCCCUGCUGAGGUGCUUCCUAUUUUAGAUUAUUAAAGAAUGAUUCUGCCACAAAGCAAAGCGCAAACACAGAGGUUCAGAGGGAGGUGGUUAGCAGUCUGCCCAUGACUGAGUGCCAAAAGAGGUCACCAGGGAGCAAUUUCCUUGAGAUCCAUGAGUGAACCUCACUCCUGCAGAAGACAAUUGUGGUGGCAGGAUCUGACCCAAAGUGGGCACUUCUUGUUUACCCGUACUUCAUUUUUCUUUCCCUAGGACCUUGAUGAGAAAACUGGUAAGAGAUGGGCUUGAGAUGUUGUUUUCUGAGUGUAACAACAGUCUCACUGAACCUAGGAUGACUUGAAUAAAACUACAAAUUCUUCAGUGCCAGUACAUGGUGCUCUGUAUUUUAAUAGUCUGUUUAUAUAUACAUACAGCUAUUUUUCUUUUGCCCAGGCCUUGAAACAAAACCAAAUGUCUUAAUGAACACAAGGAGAAAGCAAGCAGCUGGGGAAGGACAUAAAAAUGUACAAAACUAACAAAAUCCCAGGGAAAUUGUUGCAACUUUAUUCAAAGUACUUUAAAAAGCAAGUUGUGCCUCUGGGCCUGAUCUGAAAUGUGUUGCUGCACUCCAAAGCCAUCCAUGUUCCCUAGCAGCACUGUGCUCUCACAUAGGCUCCAAAAACUUGCAUGGAGGGAAUGGUGAGGUGAGCUGUGCUGCCUGAUCACCAGGAGCAUAACAGCCACAUUUCUUUCCAGCUAUGCUCCCCACCUCUUGCUAAUGAAGAUUUGGCAGAUUGGUAUUGAGGAAGCCAAGAAUUGCUGGGAGAAGUCAUAUCAUUUACCAGCCUGAUUAGUAAUACUGGGGAGAGCAGACCGCAUCUGGGACACAAGCCCUUCUGCAGGUGUAGUAAGGCUUUGGGCCAGUGCCCAAACCAACUUCAGAAAUCUGUUUGGUUUCUCUUUUGCAGGCACGGAUAUGCUGAAAGCACAGCAUCACAGCUCAGAGCAGACACUGGAUAACUGCUUUUUACUUUUGGUCUUCCAGAUUUGCCCAUUUUCUGUCCAUUUAACGUCUCAUGGUGAAAUGAAAGGAAACCGUAAACUGGUGAUCCUGAGGCUGGGAUAUGACGGUACAGGAUGGGUCCCUUUCUCAUUAAGUGAGCAGUCACGUCAUUAUUAACUGAAAAGAAACACUUUGUACACCUCUGGUUUGACAACAUAUGCCUACUCUUCCCCAGAGUAGGAAUUGCCUGCUCUUUGCCAGGGUAAGAGUUGUCAAAGGAUGGAGUUUCACAAAUACUGGCUUUUUCUACAGUGUUGUUGGCUGAUGAGAGUUUAAGAACUCAACAUCAAGUUUUCCUUCUGUCUGUGUUUAUCUCAAUUCAGUGUAAAUGAGUCCUGACCACAACCAGAGCAUCAGAGUGACUGUAGAGCGCAGGUUGAGUAUGCUUCUAUGGAAGUGUUUUCCAAACGGUUUAUUGGUUUGGCAUGAUAUUGAAAUGGCUGGGGCUCUGGAGGAAGCCUAGCAGAUCUGAUUGGCUUUGAAAUAUGGAGAAAGAUGGGGCUGAUCCUGUGUAGAGACUUUCAACCCCCUCUGAAAAAGGAAAUAGAUAGUUUUGUGAGGGCCUCUUAACCUGCACUUCAUUAUAGCUUUCUCAUUGGCCUCAAAGUCAAUGUUAACCUUGGCCUUAAUGCAGAGAAUAUUGACUUGAAGGGUCAAUAAAUCUUAAUAUGGAUUGGAAGUCAUGUUUGCUUACUUUGAAACUCUUCUCCAGUGCAAUUACUCUUUACAAUGCAAGGACAUUCUGGCAUUUUUCUUCUUGGCCAUUUUGAGGGGCAUUUCUCUUGCUCUUGAGAGGCCAAGGUUUCCACACUUUGGCUAUUUCCCCCAAAUUUUCUUUAACAGCAGCUUUGGUUUUGCAUUAUUUAUCUCCUCCCAGGAAAGGCAAACAUUUUCUGUGUCGAUUCUAGCACAGAUCUGUGUAAAACGACUGCCUCCUUGCGUUACCGCUCGUAUCACCACCUCCUGUGUCCAGGAACGGCGUGCGGUUGUGUGGGAUGCUGGAACCACAAAAGAUUUUCAGAUGUCCAGGAUACUGAGUCGUGUUGCUGAACCACACGACCUAUUAUACAGUCAUUUUCUGUGCUCGGCAGUAAUAUGCAGACUUGCUAGUACCGCGCGUUCUCUACUUUGCUUAUAUCAGCCAAUGCCUACAGAAUUUUAAUGAGCGCACAGUGAGUUGCCUAUAUAACUAGUGCAUGGCAGGGUGUGUGCUGUUGCAAUAAUGAGGCAUAUAUAAUGCCUGGAGCUAUCAAGGCAAGAAGCCAAAGGAUGUUAUUAUUGCCCUUAUAAAUUGUUUUCAAAAUAAAUAAGGUACUGAAU